rnacentral:misc_RNA from 1 species
GAUGAAGAACGCAGCGAAAUGCGAUACGUAAUGUGAAUUGCAAAUUCAGUGAAUCAUCGAGUCUUUGAACGCACAUUGCGCCCCCUGGUAUUCCGGGGGGCAUGCCUGUCCGAGCGUCAUUGCUGCCCUCAAGCACGGCUUGUGUGUUGGGCCCCGUCCUCCGAUCCCGGGGGACGGGCCCGAAAGGCAGCGGCGGCACCGCGUCCGGUCCUCGAGCGUAUGGGGCUUUGUCACCCGCUCUGUAGGCCCGGCCGGCGCUUGCCGAUCAACCCAAAUUUUUUAUCCAGGUUGGCCUCGGAUCAGGUAGGGAUACCCGCUGAACUUAAGCAUAUCAAUAAGCGGAGGA